rnacentral:RNase_P_RNA from 1 species
GGAGUAGGCGCAGGCGGUUGCAGAUCAGCCAUACUGGCUGGUUUGAGGAAAGUCCGGGCUUCCGAAAGACCAAACUUGCUGGAUAACGUCCAGUGCGAGCGAUCGUGAGGAUAGUGCCACAGAAAGAUACCGCCAAUUAGUCAUUAGUUAUUAGUCAUUAGUCAUUUGUGAAAGAACAAAGGACAAAGGACUAACGACAAAGGACUAAUUUGGCAAGGGUGCAAAGGUGCGGUAAGAGCGCACCAGCAGCGUCGAGAGGCGCUGGCUCGGUAAACCCCGGUUGGAAGCAAGGCGAAAGGAACUAUGGUUGGUCUUUUACCAGUUCCUCUCAAAAAGAGCCGCUUGAGGCGUCUGGUAACAGGCGUCCCAGAUAGAUAACUGCCCUCGCAAGAGAACAGAACCCGGCUUAUGUCCUGCUCUCUCC